UGCAGCCUCUUCCUCAUUCUCUCUCAAGCUCUUGAUUCUCAGCUCUCUUUUCUUAGGUUCUCACUCUCAACUACAUCGCCUCCCUCUCCUCUUACUCUCAACCUCCUUUGCCGACCUGUCCUCUCACUCUCUCGCCGCCGUCUCCUCUUUUAGGACUAUUUGAACAAGGAUUUUGGCCAUCUCUGUUGAAGAUUUGAGAUCAUUUUAACCGAUUAAACGAGUGCAGGUACGAAGUAGGCGUAACGUAUUUCUGAAAAUUCUACAAUUAGAAUUCACGGAGAUGCAUUUUUCUCGUAAUUUAAGUUAGCCAGCAGAAGAUGGAUCAGCAUUCAGAAGCACAUUGUUAUUACAAGAACUCCUUUUGUAUCAUAACAAUCGUAUCACAGACUCUAUGGGAUAUACCUAUUUACAUUCCCUACCUCGUAGAUUAUAUAUAUAGUAUAUAUAGAAAAGGAACUCCUGUAAACCUCUAACGACCAAAACAAAUAUAUGCAUCCGUUUGUGAUGAUGUUGGUUGAAAUGGGUUUUUUUUGGUUCGUUGAUUUUUUAUGAAAAUUAUAGAAUUUUGGUAUAUAGCAAUUUGUAAUGCUAAAAUCGCCAUGAAAAGAAAAAAAAAAAAAAAAAGGUUUAAAGUGAGAAAAAAACGUCUAAAGUGAGUCCUAAACCGGCCCAAAACCAAAACAAAACCAGCCUAAAAUCGGCCCAAAAAAAAGCCCAAUAAGAGGCCCAAAAAAAGCGGGUAGUAGAAAAACGGUUAGCCGGAUGUGGUUAACCGCUAACCGGUACCGGUUAGCAGAGGCAGUUAGUAAAAUGUAUUAACCGCCUCGGCGGUUGCGGUUAGCGGUUUUAGCCACUAACCGCAACCGCCUUUCCACCCCUAAUAUUUUGGUUUCCUGAUUUCUCACAAACGAUUGGGUUCAUUGCCAAAUGAUAAGAUUAAAUUGCAAUGUAGUAAUUUUUGUGAUUGGGACAGUACAGCAUUGUGAUCCAUUUUUCCUUUUUUACUAAUAAUUCAUGUAAAGUCCUAGCUGUCAUUUGUGGGAAUCGCUUAUAAUCAAUUAUUAGCCCUUAUUUGUUGAUCCACUGGGCUGGAUAUUAUGCUUUAUGUGCUAAUGAUAGUCUAGGAAGUAGCAACUUGAUAUACUUGCAAGCUUCAUUGUAUGCAAUUGUUGCUACUUGUAUGCUUUAAGUAUGAUAUAUCUUUCUCCAUCUUAGGUAGGGUCAAUUCUUAGUUUCAAUUUUGUGAUAAAAUAAGAAUUUUGUAGCUUGUCUUUGGCGAAAGAUUUUGUAUGGGAUUUUGGGAUGUUCACUUGCUUGUAUGCAAAUCACAUCCCCAAGCCCCGUCCCUGUGCGCCUAAUUCUAUUUUGUGUGUAAUUAAUAGCUAAAAUUCAUUGGUACACAUUCCAUGUUUAUGUCUACCUUAUUCAGUGAAUAUAUAUAUGGCUAAGCUUUCUUGUCUUGUUCACUUCAAGUCCUUUGCUAACAAGAAAACAUAAUUGCUUUAUUUUGUUUUUGAACAGAUUUCAAGCUUUGUCCAAAUGGUCGAACCAAGAAAACUGUUCAUAUCAUUGCUGGAGUUGUAAUUGGAGCAGUAUGCUUACUACUCUUUUUAG